rnacentral:lncRNA from 1 species
GCAUAAUUAAUACGGACCUUCAAACUGGGCCAGUGAUCAUUAACAAUAGAGAAAUCCGGGCUUGGUAGCUCAUAUCUGAAAUUCCAGCACUCUGAGGCUGAGGCAGGAAUGAGCCUGGGUCCCAUCGUGAGUUCCUGGACAGCCUGCUGAACCACAGGGAGAGACCCUGUCUUUAAAAAAAAAAAAAAAGGCAAAAAGUAAAAAAGACAACCAAGCCAGACAGUGGUGAUACACGCCAUUAAUCCCAGCACUUGGGAAGCAGAGGCAGGUGGAUUCUGAUCGAGACCAGCCUGGUCUACAGAGUGAGUUCCAGGAUAGCCAGGGCUACACAGAGAAACCCUGUCUCCAAAAAAAAAAAGUAAAAGAAAAAAAGACAACCUUGGAGGAAAGGCAGAGGUUUUGGCUCUGGGGGAAAAGGAGCCGAGACUCAUCCUGUGAACUCUUCCCACAUUGGGAAACUAAGGCUCAGGAAAAGGGAAGCUAGGUGACUUGGCCAAGACCCCAUAGCUCAGGAGGGACCAGAGGACCCAGAAGAUUCUGGCUGCAGGGCAAGAUGAGAUAAGGCCCAACCUCUUCCCAGUGGCCAGAGGCACUGGGUUCUGCCCUCUUAUCAGAAAAGCCCCAGGCCACACCCAAGAUGUCUGACUAUAGGUAACAGGUUCAUUCUCCCUGGCCCUUGUCCCUAGAGGUGGCACUUGUAGGGCUCCCCCAAGGGGAUGAAAAUGACCCAUCCCCAGGAUUCCCCAGACUGAAACCAAUACUGAAACUGUACCUCAGUUUCUUCUAGAAGAAGCUGAAGUUGGUGUCUUUAAAUUUAGGAGCAGCUGAGUUAGGUGAAAGCUGAACUAGGGACAGAGGACACACAUGGCUAGGUGAUGAGGGGAGGACAGAGUGAGGAGCCAGGAAAGCUGCCUGUUUGCCAUGGUUACCCCUGUGGAGUCACUAAGAGUUCCAGGGCCAGCCCUGGCCACCUUGCCCUGGGUCAGUCUAUAGCAGUUAUGGCAAAGCCAAGACCGGUGAGGGCGCUGAGCUCCAUCAGGUCAGUCCUUACUCCAACAGACCAGCCUCACUGGUGGUGAAGAGCCCCAUAGGAAUGGUUUCUCUGCUUGCUUGGGAGGAAACAGGCACCAAGAGGAAAUGUCACCUUUGGGUCACCCAAGCAUGAAAGUAGGCCUCGGGGCCCACCCUGACCCAGUGGAGCCUUCACAUGGUCCUGGUGUAUGUGGACAUGGCAGCCUCUCCCAUGAUGACAGUGCAGGAAGCCACCGUGGUGUGGUGUGUGGUUCCAGAAGCCUCUGGGGCAGGAGGCCAGAGCAGCUUUCAUGGCUCUGACUC